rnacentral:rRNA from 1 species
GAUGAACGCUGGCGGCGUGCUUAACACAUGCAAGUCGAGCGAAGCACCUUGACGGAUUUCUUCGGAUUGAAGCCUUGGUGACUGAGCGGCGGACGGGUGAGUAACGCGUGGGUAACCUGCCUCAUACAGGGGGAUAACAGUUGGAAACGGCUGCUAAUACCGCAUAAGCGCACAGUACCGCAUGGUACGGUGUGAAAAACUCCGGUGGUAUGAGAUGGACCCGCGUCUGAUUAGGUAGUUGGUGGGGUAACGGCCUACCAAGCCGACGAUCAGUAGCCGACCUGAGAGGGUGACCGGCCACAUUGGGACUGAGACACGGCCCAAACUCCUACGGGAGGCAGCAGUGGGGAAUAUUGCACAAUGGGGGAAACCCUGAUGCAGCGACGCCGCGUGAGCGAUGAAGUAUUUCGGUAUGUAAAGCUCUAUCAGCAGGGAAGAAAAUGACGGUACCUGACUAAGAAGCCCCGGCUAACUACGUGCCAGCAGCCGCGGUAAUACGUAGGGGGCAAGCGUUAUCCGGAUUUACUGGGUGUAAAGGGAGCGUAGACGGCAUGGCAAGCCAGAUGUGAAAGCCCGGGGCUCAACCCCGGGACUGCAUUUGGAACUGUCAGGCUAGAGUGUCGGAGAGGAAAGCGGAAUUCCUAGUGUAGCGGUGAAAUGCGUAGAUAUUAGGAGGAACACCAGUGGCGAAGGCGGCUUUCUGGACGAUGACUGACGUUGAGGCUCGAAAGCGUGGGGAGCAAACAGGAUUAGAUACCCUGGUAGUCCACGCCGUAAACGACCAAAACGGGGUGUCGGGUGGCAAAGCCACUCGGUGCCGCAGCAAACGCAAUAAAGUAUUCCACCGGGGGAGUACGUUCGCAAGAAUGAAAAUCAAAGGAAAUGACGGGGACCCGCCCAAGCGGUGGAGCAUGUGGUUUAAUUUGAAGCAACGCGAAGAACCUUACCUGGUCUUGACAUCCCUCUGACCGCUCUUUAAUCGGAGCUUUCCUUCGGGACAGAGGAGACAGGUGGUGCAUGGUUGUCGUCAGCUCGUGUCGUGAGAUGUUGGGUUAAGUCCCGCAACGAGCGCAACCCCUAUCUUUAGUAGCCAGCAUUUCGGAUGGGCACUCUAGAGAGACUGCCAGGGAUAACCUGGAGGAAGGUGGGGAUGACGUCAAAUCAUCAUGCCCCUUAUGACCAGGGCUACACACGUGUUACAAUGGCGUAAACAAAGGGAAGCGAGCCCGCGAGGGGGAGCAAAUCCCAAAAAUAACGUCUCAGUUCGGAUUGUAGUCUGCAACUCGACUACAUGAAGCUGGAAUCGCUAGUAAUCGCGAAUCAGAAUGUCGCGGUGAAUACAUUCCCGCGUCUUGCACA